rnacentral:rRNA from 1 species
GAGUAAUGUCUGGGAAACUGCCUGAUGGAGGGGGAUAACUACUGGAAACGGUGGCUAAUACCGCAUAACGUCGCAAGACCAAAGAGGGGGACCUUCGGGCCUCUUGCCAUCAGAUGUGCCCAGAUGGGAUUAGCUUGUUGGUGAGGUAACGGCUCACCAAGGCGACGAUCCCUAGCUGGUCUGAGAGGAUGACCAGCCACACUGGAACUGAGACACGGUCCAGACUCCUACGGGAGGCAGCAGUGGGGAAUAUUGCACAAUGGGCGCAAGCCUGAUGCAGCCAUGCCGCGUGUAUGAAGAAGGCCUUCGGGUUGUAAAGUACUUUCAGCGGGGAGGAAGGUGUUGUGGUUAAUAACCGCAGCAAUUGACGUUACCCGCAGAAGAAGCACCGGCUAACUCCGUGCCAGCAGCCGCGGUAAUACGGAGGGUGCAAGCGUUAAUCGGAAUUACUGGGCGUAAAGCGCACGCAGGCGGUCUGUCAAGUCGGAUGUGAAAUCCCCGGGCUCAACCUGGGAACUGCAUUCGAAACUGGCAGGCUUGAGUCUUGUAGAGGGGGGUAGAAUUCCAGGUGUAGCGGUG